GUGCCCGUGGCUCAAAGGAUAGAGCACGACGUUGCGGACGUUGAGGUUGGAGGUUCGAUUCCUCUCGGGCACG
rnacentral:tRNA from 1 species